AGCACUUUAUGUUUUGUAGGUUUAUUUUCUUCAGACAGGGCACACACAGUCAUGUCUCCUUUGUGGCAAAACCUUCAAACUUCACCAUCCUCAGCUGAAACAACAACAUCUUAACACCAUCUUCAUGAACUGCUGAGCCAAACCUGAUCCAUCAGUGCUGGACUGCACAGAUAACUACAUGCCACAAGGAGACUGCUGUUUUAUGAACUGCCACACCAGUGUGUCUUCAAUGGAGAAGAUUACAUCACCUGACCUCCUGCCUAAUCUAGAAACCAUCACUAUGCUGCCACAGUCGACACCUCUGAAACCAUCAAGGAUGACUUAUACUGAGGAAACUGCAUUUCCUGUCAGUCCAGUGAUCUACAGAAAGGUACUGCUGUCUUCUGAGUUUUUCAGUUUCCAAACUGAGACAUUCAAACCUCAUCACAGAGCUUGUGUCUAUCUUCACCAAUCUCACACUCACAUGGUGUGAGAUUGCUCUGGAUUCUGGUUAUUGGCCUGCAGCACCUAUGAGAACAAGCUCGUCCUGCAUGCCUGCAUUCCAGCUUCUUAGAUUCUACACAAGUGGACAGAGUGUCAGUGUUUGACCGCUCUUUUAGACACCAACUUCUGUCACCUCACUCCAGGAAGACAGGGCUGCAAGUCUGUCAUCGUUUCCAGUGUGACUUUGCAUUCUUGGGGUAGCAUCAGAUUUUUCCCACAAAUAUUCAAAGAUUUAGAUGCAGUGAUCAGAUGUGCUGGAGCUUUGUUAACCGUGUGGAAAACAUCUGUUUGUGAUGGUAUUCAAAAUGAGGCUUUAAGGUGACAGUUUCCUUGUGAUUUCAGUCCUUAUACUAAACAAAAACAUUUUUAAUUAACAUAUUAUUUUUUUAGCAGCACAUCAUUGUUCAAAGGUAAAUAGAGCCACAUGUCACACCAACAAUGAAUUUUUAACUCUGUUUGUGUCACCAGAUUUAACAAACAAUAUUGGACAUAUAAAACUGAACUUUAGAUUAAUGUGCACAUAUAUUGUUUUGUAUUUUUGAUUGUUGAACAAUUAUGUUGUAGAAAAAAAUCCAAUCUAUUUACCCAAACAAUGUAACUUGUUUGGGUAAAUAGUGGAUUAGUGUAAUUUUAGUCUAUAAGCAUAGCAACCUGAAUUCAUACAAACACACAGCUCUAAAUCUUGAAUUGUAGAAUGCACAAUAAUGAUCAUUUGAUUAUUAUGGACAUUUAAAUCAGAAUCUAUUGAACCAGACACAUAUUCUUUAUAGAGGUUACACAAUCUCAAAAAAAAGAAAGUGUUUAAGAGGAUAAGUAAAGAAAGUGUGUUUGUAUGAAUAUUGUCUCAGUAUGGGGUGUCAGUAAGUACAUGAGUAUAGAAUAGGUGUAACAGUGGUUUUCCACAUCUGUGCUUAGACUGCUCUAAUAUAUAUAGAUAAUGGGUCAGACAUAUAGUUUGACCUCUUAAGUCUGUUUGAAAAGUUCAUGAAGGUCUCAUCCAGUCAUAUGUGUUUCUGUUUAUCAUUUUAUGAGGUCACACAGCUGACAUGAGUCAGAGUAGAACCAUAAUAUUCAUGUUAAUGAGUCUACUGUUUACAGCUACUUCAUGAUGACUUUCAUCCUGGUCACAGUACUAUGUGAAAAGCUGUAAGAGGUAAAGUUAACCCAAAUAAUAUCUGAUCAUAAGUCACUCUCUAACAUUGAUUAUUUUUCAAUAUAAUUUAUUCCACAACAAUGUUCUUUAUUUUAUCCCUGUUUCUUCAAAUAUGCACAUCAAUUGUUCAGCUGUGUGACUCUCCAUACCUGAAAUAUAUCACAAUGUGAACUUCAUUUCAACAGUAUUCCUUAGUUUGGUACCAUAUUUAUCAUCAAAUCAGGAAACUGUAAACUAAUUGAAAAAAGAAGCUUUUGAACAUUUUAAUGUGUAAAAAUAUAUAUAUGUAUAUGUAUAAUUUUUUAAAUUAAUAGAACAUAAACAUGGCAAACAAAGAUAUAUUCACAAUUCCAACGGAUGCUUCAAUUGUUUGUAUAGAUUUUAGAUUAAUUUGGUCAAACAUCUGUUUGAAACUGUGGUUAUCAGAGUGUUGAUAAGAAUGCCUUGAAAAGUUCAUGACGGUCACAUUCAAUGAUAUGUCUUUCUGUUUAUCAUUACUUUUGAGUGACACAGCUAACUUGAGUUUUGAUCAGACUAGAACCAUAAAGCUGUUAGUAGUAAAGUUAAACCAAGGAAUAACUUAUCAUAAGUCACUCUCUAACACGGGGCAGUUUUUCAAUUAUUUAUUAAUUAUUAUUCAAUUAAUUUUCAAUGUUAUUUAUUUCACAACUUUAACGUUCUUUAUUUUUUUUUCCCGUUUCUUUAAAUAUGCACAUGUGAAUGUCUGUUUUAAUUCACUGCCUGUGAAUGCCUUUAAAAAACGCUUCAGGAGCUGGCAGCCAGUAUCAGCAGCUCCAGCCUGACAGAGUCCUUUUUUCCCUUUAAUAUUUGUUUCUUUGUUGUUCUUGUGAAUCUUGUUUUUGUUUUUCUAUUGUGGACGGUGGACUGAGUUCCCACUUAGGACUGUGGAUUGAGCUUUUCUAUUGUGGACUGAUCUCCUACAAUGGAGCUCAGAAUUUUAUGGACAAUCGUUUUCCUUAUUGCAUUUUUUACGGCAUCUGUGUCCGGAGAGCGCGUGGAGAUCCAACCUCGCAUUCUUUACAGCAGGGAUCUGUUGUUAGCCAGCAGCUGUUAGCCCUUGGCGCUUCCGCUGUUCUGCCUACCACCGAGCAAGCCAACAUCCCCCAUGAGGUGAGAAGGGAGAGACGCAGUACUCGGGCCGGGAUCGGGCAUCGCAGCAAGGUUAGGAGGUACCGGCCUGCAAUUCCAUCUGUUAUUAUGGGGAACGUGAGAUCUCUCCCCGACAAAGUGGAUGAAUUGGCAGCUAUGACCCAACAUUAGCUGCAGACUGUAACCAGC